rnacentral:rRNA from 1 species
AUUAGCUUGUUGGUGAGGUAACGGCUCACCAAGGUCUGUGAUGGCUAGCUGGUCUGAGAGGAUUGACCAGCCACACUGGGACUGAGACACGGCCCAGACUCCUACGGGAGGCAGCAGUGGGGAAUAUUGCGCAAUGGGCGAAAGCCUGACGCAGCGACGCCGCGUGGGUGAUGAAGGCCUUCGGGUCGUAAAGCCCUGUCGCAGGGGAAGAAUAAGCAUCGGUAUAAUACGCCGAUGCCCUGACGGUACCCUGCAAGAAAGCACCGGCUAACUCCGUG